GACAGAGGGUGCAAACGUUGUUCGGAAUUACUGGGCGUAAAGCGUGUGUAGGCGGCCACGUAAGUCGGAUGUGAAAGCCCCAGGCUCAACCUGGGAAGUGCAUUCGAUACUGCGUGGCUUGAGUAUCGGAGAGGUUGGUGGAAUUCUCGGUGUAGAGGUGAAAUUCGUAGAUAUCGAGAGGAACACCGGUGGCGAAGGCGGCCAACUGGACGAAUACUGACGCUGAGACACGAAAGCGUGGGGAGCAAACAGG
rnacentral:rRNA from 1 species